rnacentral:rRNA from 1 species
CCUACGGGAGGCAGCAGUGGGGAAUUUUGGACAAUGGGCGCAAGCCUGAUCCAGCAAUGCCGCGUGAGUGAAGAAGGCCUUCGGGUUGUAAAGCUCUUUUGUCAGGGAAGAAACGGUGGUUCCUAAUAUGGACUACUAAUGACGGUACCUGAAGAAUAAGCACCGGCUAACUACGUGCCAGCAGCCGCGGUAAUACGUAGGGUGCAAGCGUUAAUCGGAAUUACUGGGCGUAAAGCGUGCGCAGGCGGUUAUAUAAGUCAGAUGUGAAAUCCCCGGGCUCAACCUGGGAACUGCAUUUGAGACUGUAUGGCUAGAGUGUGUCAGAGGGGGGUAGAAUUCCACGUGUAGCAGUGAAAUGCGUAGAUAUGUGGAGGAAUACCGAUGGCGAAGGCAGCCCCCUGGGAUAACACUGACGCUCAUGCACGAAAGCGUGGGGAGCAAACAGGAUUAGAUACCCUGGUAGUCCACGCCCUAAACAAUGUCUACUAGUUGUCGGGACUUAAUUGUCUUGGUAACGCAGCUAACGCGUGAAGUAGACCGCCUGGGGAUACGGUCGCAAGAUUAAAACUCAAAGGAUUGACGG